UACAGGGGGUGCAAACGUUGCUCGGAAUCAUUGGGCGUAAAGCGCACGUAGGCGGUCUGUUAUGUCGGAUGUGAAAGCCCUCGGCUCAACUGAGGAAGUGCAUCCGAAACUGGCAGGCUAGAGUACUAAAGAGGGUCGCGGAAUUCCCGGUGUAGAGGUGAAAUUCGUAGAUAUUGGGAGGAACACCAGAUGCGAAGGCGGGUCACUGGGCUGAUACUGACGCUGAAGUGCGAAAGCCAGGGGAGCGAACGGG
rnacentral:rRNA from 1 species